ACGGGAGGCAGCAGUGAGGAAUAUUGGUCAAUGGACGAGAGUCUGAACCAGCCAAGUAGCGUGCAGGAUGACGGCCCUAUGGGUUGUAAACUGCUUUUGUACGGGAAUAAAGUGACCUACGUGUAGGUUUUUGCAUGUACCGUAAGAAUAAGGACCGGCUAAUUCCGUGCCAGCAGCCGCGGUAAUACGGAGGAUGCGAGCGUUAUCCGGAUUUAUUGGGUUUAAAGGGUGCGUAGGCGGGAUGUUAAGUCAGCGGUCAAAUUGUGUAGCUCAACUAUACCGAGCCGUUGAAACUGGCGUUCUUGAGUGUAAACGAGGUAGGCGGAAUGUGACGUGUAGCGGUGAAAUGCUUAGAUAUGUCACAGAACCCCGAUUGCGAAGGCAGCUUACUAGGAUACAACUGACGCUGAGGCACGAAAGCGUGGGUAUCAAACAGGAUUAGAUACCCUGGUA
rnacentral:rRNA from 1 species